rnacentral:rRNA from 1 species
GACGAACGCUGGCGGCGUGCCUAAUACAUGCAAGUUGAGCGCUGAAGGUUGGUACUUGUACCAACUGGAUGAGCAGCGAACGGGUGAGUAACGCGUGGGGAAUCUGCCUUUGAGCGGGGGACAACAUUUGGAAACGAAUGCUAAUACCGCAUAAAAACUUUAAACACAAGUUUUAAGUUUGAAAGAUGCAAUUGCAUCACUCAAAGAUGAUCCCGCGUUGUAUUAGCUAGUUGGUGAGGUAAAGGCUCACCAAGGCGAUGAUACAUAGCCGACCUGAGAGGGGGAUAGCCGCCAUUGGGACUGAGACACGGCCCAAACUCCUACGGGAGGCAGCAGUAGGGAAUCUUCGGCAAUGGACGAAAGUCUGACCGAGCAACGCCGCGUGAGUGAAGAAGGUUUUCGGAUCGUAAAACUCUGUUGGUAGAGAAGAACGUUGGUGAGAGUGGAAAGCUCAUCAAGUGACGGUAACUACCCAGAAAGGGACGGCUAACUACGUG